UACGUAGGGGGCAAGCGUUGUCCGGAUUUAUUGGGCGUAAAGAGCGUGUAGGCGGCCAGUUAGGUCAGCUGUGAAAACUCGCGGCUCAACCUCGAGACGUCGGUUGAAACCAUCUGGCUAGAGUCCGGAAGAGGAGAGUGGAAUUCCCGGUGUAGCGGUGAAAUGCGCAGAUAUCGGGAAGAACACCCGUGGCGAAGGCGGCUCUCUGGGACGGUACUGACGCUGAGACGCGAAAGCGUGGGGAGCGAACAGG
rnacentral:rRNA from 1 species